GACGAACGCUGGCGGCGUGCCUAACACAUGCAAGUCGAACGGAAAGGCCCUGCCUUUGUGCGCUGCUCGAGUGGCGAACGGGUGAGUAACACGUGAGUAACCUGCCCUUGCCCUUGGGAUAUCUUAAGGCCACUUGGGCUAAUACCGGCUAGGAGCUAUUGCUGCAUGGUGGGGGUUGGUAGGUUUCGGCGGUUGGGGAUGGAAUCGCGGACGAUCAGCUUGUUGGUGGGGUAGUGGCUUACCAAGGCUAUGACGGGUAGCCGGCGUGGGAGUGUGACGUGGCACAGUGAGACUGAGAUAGGGACCAGGCUCCUACGGGAGGCAGAGGUAGGAGAUAGUGCACAAGGGGCAGGAGCCUGAGGCAGAAACGCCGCGUGCGGGAUAGCGACCUACGGGUUAUGAACCGCAUGCGCCUGUAACGAAGAGUGUGUGACGAUAAUGGGUAGAAAAGCACCGGCUAAAUACGUG
rnacentral:rRNA from 1 species